AUUGAACGCUGGCGGCAUGCCUUACACAUGCAAGUCGAACGGCAGCACGGGAGCAAUCCUGGUGGCGAGUGGCGAACGGGUGAGUAAUAUAUCGGAACGUGCCCAGUAGUGGGGGAUAGCCCGGCGAAAGCCGGAUUAAUACCGCAUACGACCUGAGGGUGAAAGCGGGGGAUCGCAAGACCUCGCGCUAUUGGAGCGGCCGAUAUCAGAUUAGCUAGUUGGUGGGUAAAGGCCUACCAAGGCUACGAUCUGUAGUUGGUCUGAGAGGACGACCAGCCACACUGGGACUGAGACACGGCCCAGACUCCUACGGGAGGCAGCAGUGGGGAAUUUUGGACAAUGGGCGCAAGCCUGAUCCAGCAAUGCCGCGUGCAGGAAGAAGGCCUUCGGGUUGUAAACUGCUUUGUCAGGGAAGAAAUCUUCUGGGCUAAUACCCCGGGAGGAUGACGGUACCUGAAGAAUAAGCACCGGCUAACUACGUGCCAGCAGCCGCGGUAAA
rnacentral:rRNA from 1 species